GCUCAGUUGGUAGAGCAUGGUGUUUGCAAUGCCAGGGUUGUGGGUUUGAUUCCCAC
rnacentral:tRNA from 1 species